ensembl:snoRNA U8 U8 small nucleolar RNA
UAGUCAGGCGGGAUAAUCCCUAUCUGUUCCUGCUUUUGGAGGGCAGUAGAAUGUGGUAAUUGGAGUUGCAUAAUACUUGAUUAAUAAUUGUGCACUUUCCAAUUCAUGCUAUUAUGGCUUCCUGGAGUGGUGUCUUCUCUGAU